rnacentral:rRNA from 1 species
AUACGGAGGGUGCGAGCGUUAAUCGGAAUUACUGGGCGUAAAGCGCGCGUAGGCGGUUUGAUAAGUCUGAUGUGAAAGCCCUGGGCUUAACCUGGGAAUGGCAUUGGAUACUGUUUGACUAGAGUGCGGGAGAGGAGAGUGGAAUUCUCGGUGUAGCGGUGAAAUGCGUAGAGAUCGGGAGGAACACCAGUAGCGAAGGCGGCUCUCUGGACUGACACUGACGCUGAGGUGCGAAAGCGCGGGUAGCAAACAGGAUUAGAAACCCCAGUAGUCC